GGCAGAAAGAAAUACACACGAAUGGAAUCAAAAGAAGUGAAAAAUAGAAGUUGCAAAAACAAAUAAGGAACUAAAAUGUUAAAAAAAAAAAGAUAGCUGUAAUUAUAAUUGGACAAAAUCAUAUUGGUGCUUUUUUCUUUGUUAAAAUAUUUUGAAAAUGGCAGUGGUUGUGGUUAGUUUGAAUGCUGGAAAGUGGUGCCGCCAACUGAAUUCAUUAUGUUCAGGUUCCGGAAAGUAAGAGCAUAAGGGCUGUUCUGGUUGAUGAAGAAGCUGUUGGAUCAGUGGACGGUCCAGGAUGCGGAGCCAAAGUUCUUUAUGAUGUUGAUGAAUUAAAGCAAUGUUCAAAAAGUGGAAUAGUCAUAAAUCUGAAGGGAAAUGGUUUAUUGGCGGAGGACGAGGGUCGGUUCUCGAAUGGAGUCGAGUUUCCAUCCGUAACUAUGAGAUUGUAAAUGCUUUCUGGCGAUCAUGUAAGUAAGUUUAUUGGACAGAUCAGUAUCAAUCAAUAAUGAAAUGUUAUGAAGUAAGUAGAGAAGUUAUGUGGACUUAUGAAGUAUGUUGCCAUGUAAAUGCAUAAUAAAAAUUUUCUUCGUAUCUUAGGACGUCCACAUAUUUUGAAUCCCAAGAAGGAAUUUAGCUUAUAUUAAAUAAUGUAAUAUGAAAAAAGAGUAGGUUUUAUUGUAGAAUCGGUAAAUUUUGUGAUUUCUA